rnacentral:rRNA from 1 species
UACGUAGGGUGCGAGCGUUAAUCGGAAUUACUGGGCGUAAAGCGUGCGCAGGCGGCGCGUUAAGACAGGUGUGAAAGCCCCCGAGCUUAACUUGGGAAAUUGCGCUUGUGACUGGCGUGCUGGAGUGUGGCAGAGGGAGGUGGAAUUCCACGUGUAGCAGUGAAAUGCGUAGAGAUGUGGAGGAACACCGAUGGCGAAGGCAGCCUCCUGGGCUAGCACUGACGCUCAGGCACGAAAGCGUGGGGAGCAAACAGG